CCUACGGGUGGCUGCAGUCGAGAAUCAUUCACAAUGGGGGAAACCCUGAUGGUGCGACGCCGCGUGGGGGAAUGAAGGUCUUCGGAUUGUAAACCCCUGUCAUGUGGGAGCAAAUUAAAAAGAUAGUACCACAAGAGGAAGAGACGGCUAACUCUGUGCCAGCCGCCGCGGUAAUACAGAGGUCUCAAGCGUUGUUCGGAAUCACUGGGCGUAAAGGGUGCGUAGGCGGUUUCGUAAGGCGUGUGUGAAAGGCGCGGGCUCAACCCGCGGACGGCACAUGAUACUGCGAGACUAGAGUAAUGGAGGGGGAACCGGAAUUCCCGGUGUAGCAGUGAAAUGCGUAGAUAUCGGGAGGAACACUCGUGGCGAAGGCGGGUUCCUGGACAUUAACUGACGCUGAGGCACGAAGGCCAGGGGAGCGAAAGGGAUUAGAUACCCUUGUAGUC
rnacentral:rRNA from 1 species